GAGUCAUACAGUAGUCUGUGAGAUAUAUACACCUCAGGAGACUCGUAGGACAAGGUCUAGGAACAUGCUCCCUUGAAGAACUCCAACAGAUAGAAGAACAGUUAGAGAGGAGCGUAAGCAGCAUUAGAGCUAGAAAGCCUCAGGUUUUCAAGGAACAAAUUGAGCAACUAAAGGAAAAGGAAAAAGUCCUAGCAGCUGAAAAUGCAAGGCUAUGUGAGAAG